CGUGUCUUCUGCUACUAUUGUGGACUGGAAUGCUGCUGUCAAAAAACAAAUAAGCAAAUGCACAAGCCGCUUUUUCAGUCAUGACCACUUGUUUCCCUCGCACAUUGAUAUUAAAUCAUUACACUUUAUUAUUUGAGACUUUCAUUUAAACUGUCACAUUUUCGUUUUGUGGCUGCCGAGUUUGCGUUUGCAGCACUGAAGCCAGCAUGCUUCAUGGUGUACAAUGUUGAACGAAACAGACAUGCAAGACUUAGCACUGGCAUCGCAUGGUUGCCGCAUUUCAUUUUCUUCAUGCGGACAUGAAGACAUAGCUUCAAGCCAGAACAUAAUUGAUGGGUCAAGGAGCACAUUUUGGACAACCACAGGCCUCUAUCCACAUUCUUUUAUAAUAUCAUUCCCAAAACCUAUCAACCUGAGUACCAUCACUGUAAGGAGUUAUUGUGUAAAGAACAUGCUGAUAGAAGCAUGUUCAGGAAAUUUGUCUACAGGUUUUGUUGAAUUAAAAACGCUUGAUAUGCAGUUAACAGAUCUUCAUCACCAAGUUUCAAAGGUGAAUCUUGAUUCAACUACUGCUCAUCAUUUGCGGUUUACUAUUAAAGAUGGAUUUCAAGAAUUUUGCGCCAUUUACAAGGUGGAAGUGUUUGGCACCCAGUUACAACAUCAUUUGUAACCACAAGCCCUCUCAGACUCCAGACCUGUCAGAAUGGAGGGGGUAAUAAGAGCAGAGCUCCUGACUCCCACCAGAGACAGUGUUCGGUGACAGCCUCUUUGACAAAUUCCGCCGCUGUCCGCGGCAUGUCCAAUAUGCGGCCAAAGCGACGUGUGUCCGUGUCCAGGGGCCUUCGGGGCCUUGGCGGCGUGUUGGCGGCCUGUUGGCAACCCUGCUUGGCUCGGCGUGGCGCGUGGAACAACGGGGGCCUAGCGCCACCCUGUGACGUGCCUAGCCGCGCCCGCUGCCCGGUGGUGGAGUGGGAUUAAGUUCUCGUCAACACCGGUGGAGUGGACUUCCCUGACCGUGGACGACAGGUGGAGAGGGGGCCGCGUCCGAGGCGCCCCGCGUGGCAGUGCGAGAGAG